GACGAACGCUGGCGGCGUGCUUAACACAUGCAAGUCGAACGGGCCUUGUCCCCUUUUUUUCUGGGGGUGGGGUUAGUGGCGAACGGGUGAGUAACACGUGUGUAACCUGCUCCUCCUUUCUGGAUAACCGCUUGAAAGGGUGGCUAAUACGGGGUGUUCUGGACUGAUCGCAUGGGUGGGUUUGGAUAGCUUUGACCGGUUUUGGUUGCGUUGGUGGGUGAUCGGCUCGUGGGCUAUCAGCUUGUUGGUGGGAUUAUGGCCUGCCAAGUCUUUGACGGAUAGCCGGCCAGAGAGAGUGUGCGGACACAGUGGGACAGAGACACGGCCCACACUCCUACGGGGGGCAGCAGUGGAGAAUAGUGCACGGUGGGCGCAAGCCAUAUGCAGCGACGGCGCGUGAGGGAUGGAAGCCUUGGGGUUGGAAACCUCUUGCGCCAAUGAAGAAGAAGCUGCUCUUUGUGGGGGGGUUAUGACUGGCUCGUAUAAGGAAGCGCCGGCUAACUACGUG
rnacentral:rRNA from 1 species